AAUGCCCUGGUCAGCCGCCGUCUUCAGUGACAGCCCACUGCGCCAAACCACCCCUCGGUCGAUUGUGCAAGGCGGGGGUUAGGGGUUCGAUUCCCCUCGUCUCCACCA
rnacentral:tRNA from 1 species